rnacentral:lncRNA from 1 species
UUUCUCUAUUUUCUCAUUCUUUCUCCUUCUUCGUUUUCUCCGUACGCGAGGAUUACUUCUUCGUUCUCUGCAUCUCGACGACACCGUGGGCUUCGCCGAUUGAUCCCGACUGAGGCGGUGAUGGAAGCGCCGGAGUUUAGAGUAUGGAUGGGAUUCGUCUUCUCAAUCGCUGGAGGUAAGCGAUUCAUCUUCUCAAUCUAUUUUGAUGCUGUUUCUUCUCAAUCAUUGAUCGAUGCAUGAUCUAGGGUUACUGAUCAAUGCAUGAUUUUGGGUUUAGAUUUUUGUUUGCAUCAUGAAAUUUCGAUUCUGUUUUGGUUGAAAAAUUGCUUCAGAAUCGAUCCGAUUUGGUCCUUGUCCUGAUCGGUUUUACUUGUUUAAACUAUGCUAUUGCGUUCCUUGGAGAGUAGGUUUGAUGUUGAUUAACUAUGUUUUUGCUUGAUGUUUCUUAGUCAAAUUUGAAGGUUUAAUGCGUGUGCUUUAUACUGAUAGUGCGUGUGCUUACAUAGAUUGUUGGUGUAUUUCUUUGAUCUUUUUAAUAAUGGAUGGCUGUGGAGUUAGUUUUGAGUAGUUUUUAAUAUGAGGUAGCUGAGAGUUAAGUGUUUGUAUUGAAGUUGGUUUGGUUCUAUAUUUAAUGGUAAUCUUUUUUUUUCCCUUGCACGAGGAGAGAAUAUUGGGGAAUAAAAUCAAGAGGAGAGAAGAAGGACAGCGGUUUAAAGGCAUCAUCAGCUUCUCACAAAAAGGUCAGCUUCAUAUUUCAUUCCUCUCAGCUUUUAAUAAAUGAAAGUUAGGAUUAGGUUAUGGUAGUUUAGAGAGUUUAUGGUUUAGUGUUUAAGGCGAUGUAGAUAUAUGUCAAGUCAGACUAGUUGUGGUGAAUGCUUGUAUUUGGUUUGGGUUGUGAUGAAUGCUUUGUCUUGAAUGCAAGUGAUGAAUGGUUGCUUUUACUGUGUCUUUAUUCUCUGCUCUUCCAUGCUCUUUACUUCAUUCUCCUCUUCUAUUUAAACCUUGUUUAAAGAGAACACUUCCAUCUUCUUUCACUCUUCUCGUACUUGUCUUUUUAAAAAUACAAGUCUUCUCAAUCUUCGAUAUCUUCUUCCAUUCUUCUCCUCCUAAAUGUCUACUACAUAUCCCUUUAACCAACCCUCAAACUUUGUUGACCUCUUGCAUAGCCAGCAAGAGACUGUGGCAACCUAUCCCAAUCCAUUCCCAUCACUAGAACUCCCUGUAUUCAGCACCCAAACUUCCCCUGAAGAUCAAGGAGCAUUCGAUGAUGAGCCGACCAAGGAGCCUGCACAUCGUCGAGAAAGAAGAUCAUGGAAUCCUGCAGAUGAUACUCUGCUCAUAAGCGCAUGGUUAAAUACAAGUAAAGACCCUGUUAUAGGCAAUGAACAGAAUUUGGGUGCCUUUUGGGAUCGCAUAGCUACAUACUAUGCGGCUUCUCAUACAAGUGGUGAUGUUCGAGGGCCAGGUCAGUGUAAACAGCGCUGGCACAAGAUCAAUGAUCUUGUCUGUAAAUUCGUUGGAGCUUAUGACGCAGCAACAAGGGCAAAAGGAAGCGGUCACAAUGAGACUGACGUUCUUAAGCAGGCGCAUGCUAUAUUCUAUAAUGACCAUAACAAGAAAUUUACCCUGGAGCAUUGUUGGAAGGAGCUUAGGAAUGAUCAGAAGUGGUGCGAAACUUUGACCACUCAACCGAUAGACCCUGCAAACAGAGGAAAGCUGACAAUGGUGGACCAUCCGAAGUUGAUGGAAACAAGGACGCCAAAGCUGAUCAGGCUAACAUCCGACCUCCUGGAGUGAAAGCCGCAAAAGCCAAAGGGAAGAAGGCAUCAAUGGUGGAGGGGAAGUCUUUGAACGAGUUUAGUUCCAUGUGGGCUGUUAAAGAGAGGGAUAUGGUUCUGAAGAAGGAAAUCACGGCAAUGGGACUCAUGGACUCUAUAUUCGCAAAAAAAGAACCACUCACGGCGACUGAAGAAGCCUUGAAGCAAAAGCUCAUAAAUCAAUUGUUGGGUAAUUAGGUUGUUUGUGUUUUAAGUUUAUGUGUGUCUGUCAUGUCCAAUCUAUGUUAUGUUAUGUUGUUUGUGUUUUAAGUUAUGUUGUGUCUGUGUCAAGUUUAAUGGAUCGAGUUUUUUCAAACUCUUUAAUGUUGUGUACUGCUUUGUAAUGGUUUGUUGUUUAAUGAAAUAUUAUUCUCUUGACUUUGGAGCUUCAGAUUUCACGGGUUAUUGGAAGAGACAUAAAGACAACUGAAUGAAAUCGAUAUUCACGGGUUACUCAAAGGAGUGGAGUACAACAAGCCAGGCAAAACCGUAGGGACCCCUCUUUGAGUGGAAAUCAAAGUAAUGGAGUACAAGAAGCAGUGUGUUUGUUUUUUUGUGUAGUUUGGGUCCAUAUGUAUGACACCACAUGUAGGGUAAUUGAUUCAUUACCACAAAACUCAUUCUCCUUUGUUGUAUAUAUACGUAAACUUGGAAGUUUAGAAACUCAUUCUCCAUCUUUCUUC